GUAAUGGUGUCUUUAGACACCAUCAAUCUUUUUCUAAAUUUAUUCCU
rfam:Picea glauca, whole genome shotgun sequence.